AUAUUGGCCGGAGACCGAUAGCGCACAAGUAGAGUGAUCGAAAGAUGAAAAGCACUUUGAAAAGAGAGUUAAAAAGCACGUGAAAUUGUUGAAAGGGAAGCGCUUGCGACCAGACUCGCUCGCGGGGUUCAGCUGGCAUUCGUGCCGGUGUACUUCCCCGCGGGCGGGCCAGCGUCGGUUUGGGCGGUCGGUCAAAGGCCCUCGGAAGGUAACGCCCCUAGGGGCGUCUUAUAGCCGAGGGUGCAAUGCGACCUGCCUAGACCGAGGAACGCGCUUCGGCUCGGACGCUGGCAUAAUGGUCGUAAACGACCCGUCUUGAAACACGGACC
rnacentral:rRNA from 1 species